UGCAGUCGCACGAGAAAGGGACUUCGGUCCUGAGUAAAGUGGCGCACGGGUGAGUAACACGUGACUUAUCUACCUCCGAGUGGGGAAUAACUGAGGGAAACCUUAGCUAAUACCGCAUAACACUUACGAGUCAAAGCAGCAAUGCGCUUGGAGAGGAGGUCGCGGCAGAUUAGCUAGUUGGCGGGGUAAUGGCCCACCAAGGCGAUGAUCUGUAUCCGGCCUGAGAGGGCGCACGGACACACUGGAACUGAAACACGGUCCAGACUCCUACGGGAGGCAGCAGUGGGGAAUUUUGCGCAAUGGGGGAAACCCUGACGCAGCAACGCCGCGUGGAGGAUGAAGUCUCUUGGGACGUAAACUCCUUUCGAUAGGGACGAUAAUGACGGUACCUAUAGAAGAAGCCCCGGCUAACUUCGUGCCAGCAGCCGCGGUAAUACGAGGGGGGCAAGCGUUGUUCGGAAUUAUUGGGCGUAAAGGGCGCGUAGGCGGUUUGGCAAGUUUGGUGUGAAAUCUUCGGGCUCAACUCGAAGUCUGCACCGAAAACUGCCGGGCUUGAGUAUGGGAGAGGUGAGUGGAAUUUCCGGUGUAGCGGUGAAAUGCGUAGAUAUCGGAAGGAACACCUGUGGCGAAAGCGGCUCCCUGGACCAUUACUGACGCUGAGGCGCGAAAGCUAGGGGAGCAAACAGGAUUAGAUACCCUGGUAGUCCUAGCCCUAAA
rnacentral:rRNA from 1 species